rnacentral:lncRNA from 10 species
CCUUUCCGGUGGAGGACCCUUCCCCCUGGGUUGAUCUUGAGGAACUUAAGAGACGGUGUUUUGACUCGACUCCUUUCCCCUUUUUCCUCCCGCUGAGAUCCAGACCUUCUUAGAGAGAACACAGCCAGUGGAGAGUCACUCUAUGGCAGGAAAUAUUCUGUAUUGCCUUACAGGCAGAACUUGCUGAAACUCCAACCUCUGGAAAUUACUGGAACCCUGCAUUCUAGAACUUGCUGGAAACCCACCCUCUGGAAUUGGCCUGCUAGAGUGCCUGAGAAGGAUGUUCAUAGGGAAAUGUUUCAGCAGAGGAACUCUACUACAAAAACCACAAGAGGGAGGGUGCCAGGGGAAGUGGCCUGGUGCUAUUGAAACUGCAACACAGAAGCCAGCCACUGGAGAGAGCUGCACAAGCUGCAGGAACACCCUACCCAGUAAGCCGGCCAGAAGGAGGGAGCAAAACCUUUUCUCUCUGCAACAUCUUUCCAGUUUCCUCUACUGGAAAAGCUUCAUUGCCAGCUGACAAAAGGAAAAAUACUUAAAUGGAUCAGAUCCAUUUUCACAGAGCAGUCAAUAAUGGUGAAUUUGGAGAUGAUAAGCAACAAAUUGAUGAACUGGCACAACUUCCCUGCUACUUUCUUGAUUGUAAUGCCUAGAUAGGGAAUAGGAAAGUUAUUGAAAUGUAUGUGUUCCCAUGAAAUGUGUUUAUUUGUUGUUCAAGAUCAAUACUAAUAAAUGGGGACUAAUGUUCUGAAGUAUUUUGGAACAAUUAGAAUCACCACUCUUAACCCUGUGGCCAAAGUCUUAAAUGGACAGGGAGGAAAAUGUUUAUAAACUGAAGCAAAAAUUGAUCUACAUAGAAAAUAAAUCUGGAGUAUUUACUUGGUAGGUAUACUAGUUUCCUAGGGCUGCCAUAACAAGUUAUUACAAACUGGGUGGCUUAAAACAACAGAAAUUUGUUCUCUCACAGUUCUAAAGGCCAGAAAUCCAAAAUCAAGGUGUUUGCCAAAGCCAUGCUCUAGGGGAGAAUCCUUUGCUUCUUCCAGCUUCUGGUGGCUCCUGGCAUUACUUGGUUUGUGAGAGCAUAAUUCUAAUGUCCGCUUCUACCUUCAUAUGGCCUUCUUUCAUAUGACAUGUCAAAUCUUCCUCUCCUUUUUCUUAUAAGGACACCAGUCAUUGGAUUUCAGGCUCACCCUUAAGCCGGGAUGAUCUCAUCUCCAGAACCCUAACUUAAUUACAUCCACAAAGACCCUAUUUCUAAGUAAGAUCAUAUUCACGAGUACUGGGGUUAGGACAUGGACAUCUUUUUGGAGGACACAAUUCAAUCCACCAACACAUUUUUAUUUUACUUUGGUCUUUAAAAAGAAUAAGCCGAGUUCAGUGGCUCAUGCAUGUAAUCCCAGCACUUUGGGAGGCCAAGGCGAGCAGAUCACUUGAGGCCAGGAGUUCACGACCAGCCUGGUCAACAUAGCAAAACCCUAUCUCUACUAAAAAUACCAAAAUUAGGGCCGUGCGCGGUGACUCACGCCUAUAAUCCCAGCACUUUGGGAGGCUGAGACGGGCGGAUCACGAGGUCAGGAGACCGAGAACAUCCUGGCUAACACGGUGAAACCCCGUCUCUACUAAAAAUAAAAAAAAAUUAGCCCGGCGUGGUGGCGGGCGCCUGUAGUCCCAGCUACUCAGGAGGCUGAGGCAGGAGAAUGGCAUGAACCCGGGAGGCGGAGCUUGCAGUGAGCCGAGAUCGCGCCACUGCACUCCAGCCUGGGCGACAGAGCAAGACUCCAUCUCAGAAAAAAAAAAAAAAAAAAGCCGGAUAUGGUAGUGCACUCCUGUAAUCCCAGCUACUAGUGAGGCUGAGGCAUGCCGGGCGCGCUGGCUCACGCCUGUAAUCCCAGCACUUUGGGAGGCCGAGGCGGGCAGAUCACAAGGUCAGGAGAUCGAGACCAUCCUGGCUAACACGAUGAAACCCCAUCUCGACUAAAAAUACAAAAGAUUAGCCAGGCGUGGUGGCGGGUGCCUGUAGUCCCAGCUACUAGGGAGGCUGAGGCAGGAGAAUGGCGUGAACCCGGGAGGCGGAGCUUGCAGUGAGACGAGAUGGCACCACUGCACUCCAGCCUGGGCAAGAGUGCGAGACUCCGUCUCAAAAAAAAAAAAAAAAGAAAGAAAGAAAAAAAGAGAAUGAAGAAUUGCUUCAACCCAAGAAGUGGAGGUUGCAGUGAGCCAAGAUCGCACCCCUACACUCCAGCCUGGGCAACAGAGUGAGACUCUGUCUCAAAUUAAAAAAAGAAAAAAAUCACAUUGCAAUGGAAUAUAAAUGUUAAAAACUUAAUGGUUCUCCCUAGGAAGGCAGAAGAAAAGAAAAAUGGUAGGAAAUACUGAGACGGAAGAGCAGAAGUGUUAAUAAGAUUAAUAUAACAAACUAAGUAAAUAGUUGCUUCCUUUUAUUAUUUCAGCUUCUUUAAAAAAUUGUAUAGAGUAAUAAUUAAAAUAAUGUAUUCUUAUGUUUAAUAUAUUACAUACAUCAUAAUAUAUUAACAUAUUUUAACAUAUUGCAUGGAUGUAAUAUGAAUAAUAAUAAUGGGAAAAAAGAGACACGAUAGAGCUAUAAAAGCGUAGCAUUUGUAUACCUCAAAAGAGAUGAUAUAAACAUGAAGUAUAAGGCUGAGCAUGGUGCCUCAUACCUGUAAUCCCAGUGCUUUGGGAGGCCAAGGUGGGAGGAUCGCUUGAGGCUAUAAGUUUGAGACCCGCCUAAGCAGCAUAGUGAGAACCCUGUCUCUGCAAAGAAAAACAAAACGGUGAGGUGUGGUGGCAUACGCCAGUAGGUCCAGCUACUCAGGAGGCCGAGGUGGGAAGAUCACUUGUGCCCAGGACUUUGAGGUUGCAGUGAGCUGUGAUUGCACCACUGCACUCCACCUCUGGGAAAAAGAGCAAGACCUUGUCUCUAAAAAAAAUUAAAUUAAAUUUUAAAAAUUGAAGUAUAUUCUGAUAAGCUAAGAAGUAUAUGGCAAACCAUAGAGCAACCACUAAGAAAAUUUUUAAAAUGUGAAAAAAAUCAUCAAAAAUUUUACUAGGAUAUAUUUACUUAGUACAAAAGAAAGCAGGAAAGGAGGAAUAGAACAAAAAAGACAUGAGAUAUCAAAACCAAAUUAAUAUAGAUAUAAUUCCACCUACAUCAAUACUAACAUUACAUGUAAAUGGAUAUAUGCCACUUCUGUCAUGACAGCAUGAGGAACUUUGUGAACCAGCUCACAGUGAAACUGGUGAAAAUUAUAUAAACAACCAUCUAAAGUCUCUGGAAAUGUUUCUGAUGACAUAAAACAAAUGAAAAAUCAUUUAUUCAAGAAAAAGCUACUAAAAUUUUAAGGACAGUGAAAGUUUGUGGUAAAUGAACCAAAACCCACUCUUCCAACCCUGCCUCCAAGCCCAGUGAAGAGGUGAGCUCUACUCUAGACUGAAACAUCCAAAAAUACAAGACUCCUUAUUCCUCCUAGAUCUCAGUUAGAGGGCUAUCUUCCUAGGAGGAGCAGGACAUAACCAUUUCUCAUGCUUCCCCCAAUUACCUGUUGCUGAGGCUAAGUUCUGGUUUAGUGUGGCCAAGAGGUGGUGGCUCCUUUUUUCCACCCAGCCCCUAACCAUAGGACAAAGCUAAAUCUUGGGCAUUGGUGCUACUGAGCAUACUGGGGCAUCGAUCUCCCUGACCCUGGAUUGAGUGAGGAGCAGUAGAUGCAUUCUAAGAGAGGCAAGCUAAAAAGAUUAAGGGCUAUUGUCUCCUUCCUCCACCAAGCACUCAUGUUCUCAAGCAGAGAUAUCAGAGAGAAUUAUGCCAUUGUUCCAGUCUCCAGGACCAGAAUUGUGGCUCAGAGAUUCUGCCCUAAGGGAAAGGUAGGUCUUAGAAGAGAGAGCUCUGAAUCUCUCCCUAAAAUAACUGACUUUAUUUGCAACUGAGUGUGGAAAAAUUCAAGCCUAAGGGUGCUCUCAAGAACAAAGAAGGUUAUGGUAAAAGAAAAUUGGGGGAAAUUGGUAAAUUUAUUAAAAUUAUAGGCUAAACUGUAGGCCAACCAGUUUGCUGGAGAGAAAACAGAGAGAAAGGGCAGCAAAAAAGUCCUCCAAGAGUCAGAGCAAGUCUUAAACACUAACCUAAGAAAAUAUUCCUACUAAGGUGCCCAAAUUUGAUUGGAUCAGUCUGUGAAGCAAUUUGUGCCCCAGGGUGUUGUCGAAAACAAAAGAGCAAUCAGCCGGUAAUUAGCGUGAUUUAAGAGCUGGCUGUGGUCAGGGAAAGAGGCAGUUAAAGGGAGCCCUGCCAAAAUCAGUGUUAUCCCAGGGUGAUUAUGUGCCUACCCAAGGCUGUACCCCCUGAGUAACAACAUCAGCAGUUUCACACAAUGAAGUUAACAAGCACACAAAAAUAAUAAGACCUGGAGUGGGAAGAACAAGUACCCAGGGUUGGUACAAUAUAUUAUCUAAAAUAACCUAGUUUCUAACAAAAAAUUAUGAGGCAUGCAAAUAAACAGGAAAGUAUAAACUAUACACUAUACACCAAUACCAAAAGAGCAGGCAACAGAAACUGCCUAUGAAAAUUACCAGAUGUCAGAUUUAGUAGACAAAGUCUUCAAAGUAACCAUGAUAAAUAUAUUUGAAGGACUAAAGGAAACUAUUAUUAAAGAAAUGAAAGAAGGUACGAUGUCAAUGUCAAAUCAAACAGAAUAUAAAUAAAAAGGAAAUAUUUUUAAAAAUGAAAUAGAGAUUCUGGUGUUCAAAAGAACAAUAAUUGAAAUGAAAAACUCACUAGAGGGAAAAAGAGUCCAUUCGAACUGGGAGAAUAAAGAAUUAACACACUUGAUAACAGAUUAAUAGAGCAUAUUAACUCUAAAGAGCAGAGAAAACAAGAAUGAAGAAAAAUGAAGAUGGCCUCAGAGAAUUAUGGGAUAUUAUAUGCACCAACAUAUGUGUAAGGGGACUAUUAGAAGGAAAGAAUGAGAAGGAAGCAGAAAAAAAAAAGAAAUAAUGGCUAAAAACUUCCCAAUUUAUUGAAAAACAUUAAUCAACACAUGCAGAAAGCUCAAUGAACUGCAAGUAAGAUAAGUGCAGAGAUCCGCAAGCUGACAUAUUAUAAUAAAAAUGCUAGAAGACAAAGAGAAAAUCUUGAAAGCAGCAAGAGAAAAAUGACUCAUCACUUACAAACUUACAAAGGAAGAUUAAAAGCUGACUUCUCACCAGAAACAAUGGAGGCCAGAAGGCAGUGUGAUAACAUACUCAAUGUGCCCAAUGAAACCAUUCAUUAAACAAAAGUCAUAUAUUCAGCAAAGCUAACUUUAAAAUUGAAGGUAAAAUAAACUUUUCCAGAUAAAGUGAGAAAAAUUUGUUUCUAGCAGACCUACACUACAAGAAAUACCAAAGAGAGUUAUUUAAGCUGAAAGCAACUGAAUCCAGAAAGUAAUUCAAAUCCACACGAGAAACAAAAAGCAAUGGUAAAGAUAGUUAUGUAAUUAUAAAAAGCAAUAUAAAUGCAUAUUUAUUCUCCUUUCUUAAAUUAUUUAGAAAACAAUUUUAUGAAACAAUGUGUAUGUAAUGCAUAGUUCACCCUAUAACGUAUAGAAAUAUUAUGUAUCUGCCAAUAACAGCAAAAAGAAGAUGGAUUGGAACAAAGCCGUAUUGGGGUAUGGAAGUAAUUCCAGAUGGCACCUUAAAUCCACAGGAACAGAUGCAGAGAACAAGAAAUGAUAAAUAGGAUUAAUAUAACAAGGCUGGGUGUGGUGGCUCACACCUGUAAUCCCAGCACUUUGGGAGGCCAAAGUGGGCAGCUCAUCUGAGGUCAAGAGUUCGACAACAGCCUGGCCAACAUGGUGAAACCCUGCCUCUACUAAAAAUAAAAAUAAAAAAAUUAGCCAGGCAUGGUGGCACACACCUGUAGUCCCAGCUACUCGGGAGGCUGAGGCAGAAGAAUGGGUUGAAGCCAGGAGGCGGAGGUUGCAGUGAGCCAAGAUCACAUUGUGCCACUGCACUCCAGCCUGGGUGACACAGUGAGACUCUGUCUUAAAAAAAAAAAAAAAAAAAGAAAAUUAAUAAUUUAACAAAAGCUAUAAAUAUAUACUAGCUUUUCUUACCUUCUUUAAAAGUAUACAUAUAUAUAAAUAAUUAUAACAAUGUAUUGUUUGGUUUGUAACAUUUAUAGAUGUAACCUGUAUAACAAUAACAAAACAAAAAGGAAGGAAGUAAAGUAAAGCAAUACAGAAAUAACAUUUUUGUCUCCCAACAGAAUUAAAUUAGUAUAAAUUGGAAGCUGAUUCUGAUGUAUAAGGUAAAUUCUAGAUCAAUAGCUAAGGAGAUAACAAAAAUGUAUUGUAAAAAAUCAUUAAAGAAAUUAAAAUUCUGCAUUAGAAAAGAUUCACUUAAUCCGAAAGAAGGUGGUAUAGAAGGAAUAGAGAAACAAACAGAGCACCACGCAUAAAGAAAACAAAAAGUGACAUGGCAGAUAUAAAUUCAAAUAUAUUAAUAAUACCAUUAAGUAUCAAUGAAUUAUGCUGGGUGUGGUGGCUCAUGCCUGUAAUCCUAGCACUUAGGGAGGCUAAGGUGGGAGAACAGCUUGAGCCCAGGAAUUUGAGGUUACAGUGAGCUAUGAUAGUGCACCGUACUCCACUCCAGCCUGGGCAACAGAGUGAGACUCUGGUUCUAGAAAAAAAAAAUGAAUUAAACAAUCCAAUCAAAAGGCAGAUUGUCAGUCUGGGUUAAAAAACAGCAACAACAUAAUUCAACUAUAUGCAAUCUACAGAAGAGACACUUUAUUUUUUAAUAGAGAUGGGGUCUUGCUAUGUUGACCAGACAGGUCUCAAACUCCUGGCCUCAAGUGAUCCUCCCAUCUUGGCCUCCCAAAGUGCUGGGAUUACAGAUGUAAGCCACCAUGUCUGGCCCAGAAGAAACACUUUUUAUUCAAAGAUACAAAUAGGUUAAAAUUAAAAUGAUGGAAAAACUAAUAACAUGCAAACAGCAAGCACAAGAAAGCUGGAGUGGCUAUACUGGUAUCAGAAAAAAUAAAAUUUAAAAUAAAAAGUUAUUAAAAAUAAAGAGGGACAUUUUAUUAUGAUAGAAGGAUCAAUACACCAGGACAAUAUAAUGAUUAUAAACAUACAUACACCUAACAGCACAGUACUAAAAUACAUAAAGCAAAAACUGAUAGAAAGGAAGAUUUAAAUAGACAAAUCAGCAAUAAUAGUUGAGGGUUUCAAUACUUUAUUUCCAAUAAUAAAUGGAACAAUUAGGCAAAAUAUCAACAAGGAAAUAGAACACUUGAACAUACUAUGAGACAACUGGACCUAAUAGACAUCAAGAGACACUCCACUCAAUGAGAACGGAGUAUACGUUCUUCUCAAGUACAUAUGGAACAUUCUCCAGGAUAUACCAUAUGCGAGGCCAUAAAACAAACCUUAAUAAUUUUAAAAAAACAAAAGUAAUACAAAAAAUUAUUAAGCCAAGGAGGCUGAAGUGGGAGAAACACUUGAGCCCAGGAGUUCAAGACCAGCCUGGGCAACGUAGCAAGAUUCCAUCUCUAGAAAAACAAAACAGUUUAAAAAAAAAAAGAAAUAAUACAAGUUGUUUGUGGUGGUGCAUGCCUGCAAUUCUAGCUACUUGUGAGGCUGAAAUGGGAGGACAGUUCAAGCUCAGGAGUUUGAGGCUACAGUGAGCUGUGAUCAUGCCACUGCACUUCAAGCUGGGCAGAGUGAGACCCUAUCUCUAUGUAUAAAAGAAAAGAGGCUGGGUGCAGUGGCUCAUGCCUGUAAUCCUACCACUUUGGGAGGCCAAAGUGGGCGGAUCAUGAGGUCAAGAGCUCGAGAUCAUCCUGGCCAACAUGGUGAAACCCUGUCUCUACUAAAAAUACAAAAAUUAGCUGGGCAUGGUGGUGCAUGCCUGUAGUCCCAGCAUCCUGUACUCAGGAGGCUGAGGCAGGAGAAUCACUUGAACCCAGGAGGCAGAGGUUGCAGUGAGCCGAGAUCACGCCACUGCACUUUGGCCUGGAGAGGGAGUGAGACUCCGUCUCACAAAAAAAAAAAAAAAAAAAAAAAAAAGAAAAAGAAAAAAGAAAUAAUCCAAAAUAUGUUCUCUGUCUAUAAUGGAAAGAAAUUAAACAUCAAUAACAGAAAGAAAAUUGAAAAAACUCACAAAUAUAUGAAAAUUAAAUAGCAGGCCAGGCGCGGGUGGCUCACGCCUGUAAUCCCAGCACUUUGGGAGGCCAAGGCAGGUGGGUCGCAAGGUCAGGAGUUCAAGCCCAGCUUUACCAACAUGGUGAAACCCCGUCUCUACUAAGAAUACAAAAAUUAGCCGGCAUGGUGGCACGUACCUGUAAUCCCAGCUACUCAGGAGGCUGAGGCCGGAGAAUCACUUGAACCUGGGAGGCGGAGGUUGCAGUCAGCCAAGAUCGCGCCACUGCACUCCAGCCUGGCUGACAGAGUGAGACUCCAUCUCCAAAAAAAAAAAAAAAAAAAACAGAAGUCCGGGAACAGUGGCUCACGCCUGUAAUCCCAACACUUUGGGAGGCCGAGGCAGGUGGAUCAGGAGGUCAGGAGUUCAAGACCAGACUGGCCAAGAUGGUGAAACCCUGUCGCUACUAAAAAUACAACAAUGAGCUUGGUGCAGUGGCAGGCGCCUGUAAUCCCAGCUACUUGGAGGCUGAGGCAGGAGAAUCACUUGCACCUAGGGGGCGGAGGUUGCAGUGAGCUGAGAUCAUGCCACUGCACUUCAGCCUGGGCAACAGUGAGACUCCGUCUCACAAAAAAAAAAAAAAAAAAAAGAAAAGAAAAUUAAAUAGCACAUUCCUAAAUAAUCAGUCAAAGAGGAAUCAAAAGAGAAAUUAGAAAAUUACUUUGAGAUGAAUACAAUAAAGGCUGACCAAGGGGAAAAAAAAGAGAGAAGGCUCAAAUUACUGAAAUCAGGAAUAAAAGAGAUGUUACUGCCAAACUCACAGAAACGAGAGAGGGUUAUAACAUAAUAUUGAGAAGAAUUGUAUGCCAACCAAUUAGAUAACCUAAAUGAAAUGGACAAAUUAUUGGAAAUACAUAAUCUAUCAAAAUGGACUCAAGGAAAAAAUAGAAAUUCUAAAUAUAUUUAUAAUACAAAUAUUGAGCUAAUAAUUUUUAAAAAAAAUAACCCUUUCAACACAUAAAGCCUACACAUAUAUGGCUUCACUGGUGAAUUAUAGCAAAUAUUUAAAGGAGAAUUAAUAGGCUGGGCAUAGUGGCUCACGCCUGUAAUCUCAGCACUUUGAGAGGCCAACAUGGGUGUAUUGCUUCAUCCCAGGAGUUCGAGGCCAGCCUGGGCAACAUGGUGAAACCUCAUGUCCACAGACAAAAUACAAAAAUUAGCUAGGUGUGGUAGUACAUGCCUGUAGUCCCAGCUACUAGGGAGGCUGAGGUGGAAG